AUGAGUUACGGAGAUGGAGAUGGAGAUGGAGAUGGAGAUAAAGCCUCAACUCCCGUGACAAUUGUAGAGCCGUUCUUCGUCCACCUGAUCUGCGGCCUGCCUUCUGGAUUGCUCGUUAUAUCUACUCUACCGAUCGCAUCUCCGAUCCUUCUCGCACUCUCUCUUGAUUAGGGCUGUUGAUUGUCCGAUUGUGAUUCUUCUUUACAACCGGUAUCGUACGGACCGAAAGCAAUUCUCGUACUUGAAGGCUGUGGCGUGAGGCAUACUUGGACUCCCUGCUGGUGCUAUUAUUAAUGCUUUUGGAGCAAUAGUUCUAGGCGCUCCUACUGGUGCUUCGUACGUGAAUGAUGUUGGAUGAUGAAAGUCGCACAUCUGCUAAUUUAGGGAAUGAUCAUAGGUUUAUAAUCAAGAAAUACUCUG